rnacentral:rRNA from 2 species
UGCGAGCGUGACGGCGCGAGCAGGUGCGAAAGCAGGUCAUAGUGAUCCGGUGGUUCUGAAUGGAAGGGCCAUCGCUCAACGGAUAAAAGGUACUCCGGGGAUAACAGGCUGAUACCGCCCAAGAGUUCAUAUCGACGGCGGUGUUUGGCACCUCGAUGUCGGCUCAUCACAUCCUGGGGCUGAAGUAGGUCCCAAGGGUAUGGCUGUUCGCCAUUUAAAGUGGUACGCGAGCUGGGUUUAGAACGUCGUGAGACAGUUCGGUCCCUAUCUGCCGUGGGCGCUGGAGAACUGAGGGGGGCUGCUCCUAGUACGAGAGGACCGGAGUGGACGCAUCACUGGUGUUCGGGUUGUCAUGCCAAUGGCACUGCCCGGUAGCUAAAUGCGGAAGAGAUAAGUGCUGAAAGCAUCUAAGCACGAAACUUGCCCCGAGAUGAGUUCUCCCUGAGACUUAGAGUCUCCUGAAGGAACGUUGAAGACGACGACGUUGAUAGGCCGGGUGUGUAAGCGCAGCGAUGCGUUGAGCUAACCGGUACUAAUGAACCGUGAGGCUUAACCUUACAACGCCGAAG